rnacentral:rRNA from 1 species
AAGGUCGAGCGGAGUCAGUAAGUAGGAAGUUUUCGGAUGGAAUCUUAUUGAUUUAGCGGCGGACGGGUGAGUACGCGUGAGCGACCAACCUUGCACGAGGGGAUAACGGACCGAAAGGUUCACUAAUACCGCAUGAGACCACGGUGUUGCAUGACACAGGGGUCAAAGGAGUAAUCCGGUGCAAGACGGGCUCGCGUCCGAUUAGGUAGUUGGAGGGGUAACGGCCCACCAAGCCUAUGAUCGGUAGCCGACCUGAGAGGGUGAUCGGCACAUUGGAACUGAGAUACGGUCCAAACUCCUACGGGAGGCAGCAGUGGGGAAUAUUGGGCAAUGGGGGAAACCCUGACCCAGCAACGCCGCGUGAAGGAAGAAGGUUUUCGGAUUGUAAACUUCUGUCCUUGGUGAAGAGAAGAAGACGGUAGCCAAGGAGGAAGCCCCGGCUAACUACGUGCCAGCCGCCGC